AGAGUUUGAUCCUGGCUCAGGACGAACGCUGGCGGCGCGCUUAACACAUGCAAGUCGAGCGAUAACCAUGGCUUCGGCCAUGGGGAGAGCGGCGAACGGGUGAGUAACACGUGAGCGAUCUGCCCUCGACACUGGGAUAGCCCGGGGAAACCCGGAUUAAUACCGGAUAGCCUCUCGAGCCCACGGGCUCGUGAGAAAAGAUGGCUUCGGCUUUCGGUUGAGGAGGAGCUUGCGGCGGAUUAGCUUGUUGGUGAGGUAACGGCUCACCAAGGCGACGAUCCGUAGCUGGUCUGAGAGGACGAUCAGCCACACUGGGACUGAGACACGGCCCAGACUCCUACGGGAGGCAGCAGUGGGGAAUCUUGCGCAAUGGGCGAAAGCCUGACGCAGCGACGCCGCGUGAGGGAAGAAAGCCUUCGGGUUGUAAACCUCUUUCAGGAGGGACGAAGCUACUCGGGUUAAUAGCCCAGAGGGUGACGGUACCUCCAGAAGAAGCCCCGGCUAACUACGUGCCAGCCGCCGCGGUAAUUC
rnacentral:rRNA from 1 species